UUCUGGAAGGAUGGGGUUGCAGGACUGGAGCAGGCAGUCCUCGUCUUUCUGAUGGAAAGCCCCUACGAGACCUGGGGAGCACCCAGGGAUAGCGCCUUGUGGGCGCAGGUAAAUACGGUAGCACGAGGGCUGGAGAAGAGCGGACUUUUCAUACUGAGUGAGUUUUCCUUUUUUCCCCUGUAGCAUCCUCGGGCCUGCACCUAAGACAGCCCGAACCCCGGAAGUGAGUGGCACAACCCAAUCAGAGAAAGCGCCCCCCAAGCCUGGCUGGAAGAGCUGAAACUGGAACUUCAAACCCUGAGAAAUAGGGAGACGCCCCACCCUCCACCUGCACCAGCGCCAGCCAAUCCCAGGGCAGCAGUGGAGCGAGCGCUACGGAAACGCAGAGGAGACAAACUAACUCUAAAUGAGAACGUGACAGAAAGUCUUGGGAUGUCUGAGCCACUGCCAGACGGUGACAGAGCUCGCAAGACCUGCCUCGCCUCUCAUCUCUCAGGAACGCAGCUGACUGAAGGAAGCCACCUGUUCUGAGGCCUCUGACUUUCCCUGUAAUCAAGAAAUAACCACACGGGACAAAAAUCUCUUUGUUGGUGCUAGUGAAUGCCCUGCGAGUUUGUGGCCUAACCAAAUGCAUUGCCAGUUCGGCCAGUUUCCAAAACACAAAUUGGACCCAUCUUGUAGUGGGAGGAUAGCUCUGUGAAAAAGUGGUCCCCACUGAUGUAGCUCUGUCAUCUUGCUUCCAUGAAGCUUAAAAGAAAAAGAACAAAGCACAACCAUGGUCAACAACGGUCAAGUUGGAAGGCAUGCGUUGCUGCCUAUUGUAAACAGGCUCAGAGUCUAGGAUAUUUGGCAUGACCAUGAAGCUGGAGGAGGCUGAGCUCAGGCCAAUGCUGAAAUGAAGAACACUCACCAAAGAAGAGAAGACAUUUGUUUCACUGAGGGUUGCCUGUAUUUGUGCAAGAAUUCGUGGAAGUCAGUCACCCCUAACUCAUGAUGUACACUCUGCGAAGCACUUCCUUGUGUGAUUCAGAAAAAUGUGGAAAGCAUUUUAAGAGUAAGUCCAGGAGAGGUUGACGUGUUUAUUUUCCAAGACCUUCCUUUGUGUUUCUACCAGAUAAUUCGUAGGAACCAGACAGAAUCUAAAUAACUUCUAGGUCUUUAGUUUCGUGAUUCCAUCUUUCUAAACAGAAAAUGAAGACAGUGUUGAAGACACAUGGACUCGAUUAGUGGUUCAGAGCCUAAGGUUUGGUGUCAGGUUUCCUUUAAAUACAACUGCAGUUUCUGCCACAGACAAGUCCUGUGACCCUGUGGAAUUUAGUAAAUCUCUUUAGACUUCAGAAUCUUUCACCGUAAAAAUGGGAAAUUGUAUUAGUGGUCUACCUCAUAGAUCGCUGUAUGGAUCGAAGGUGGGCAGGCUGGUAAAGCAUUUUGCAGAAGUCAUGGUAAAGAAUAAUUAAUACAAAAAAAUGUUAGCUGCUCUUACGGUGAUAAUUAUGAAAGUAAUGGGAAACUUGCAGACGUUAACCAGCAAACACGGAGUAAACUUGAUUUCUUUGCACUGACAGGUUUGGAAAGCAUUGGCUGGACAGAUUUUCCCUGUCCUGGGGAAAGUGAAGUACAUUUCUUGGUAAAGUAGAGAAGUAAAUGAGAAGAUAUUUUGUAUAAAUCACCGAAUUUCUUUUAGCCCUGAGUAUUCUCACAAAUGGCUUUGGGUUUUAGGUGAGGAAACACGUGCAUUUUUUCAGUCAGUCCAUUAACAAUGAAGGGGUGUGUGUGUGUGUGUGUGUGUGUGUGUAUAAAAUUGUCCUGGUGUUUAUGUGUGAAAGAACCCUGGGCUCUGGGUUGGAAGGCAGGAGGUCAGGUUCAAGUAUAGACUCCAAUAGUAACUUACAGUUUUAUUGUAGAUGAGUUAUUUAAACUUUGUCUCCACUUACUUCUAUGUACACCUAAGGACUUUGGUUAUUAAAUCGUCUCAGCUGUAAUGCAAUCCUGAAAUUCUAUGACUCUCUGUCAGAAAUGGUCCCAUGAAUAAAAACAUCCGCACUAAGAGGUGAACUAGGAUGAACUUCCUUCUUGUCUGGUCCAGUGUCUCUCAACUUCACGUUUCUCAAAUGAGAACUGGAAAUCUCAAAAGUC